rnacentral:tRNA from 1 species
GGGGUUGUGGCUCAGUGGUAGAGCGCUCGCCUAGCAUGUGCAAGGCCCUGGGUUCCAUCCUCAGCAUCUCA